rnacentral:rRNA from 1 species
CUACGGGCCGCAGCAGUGGGGAAUAUUGCUCAAUGGGCGAAAGCCUGAAGCAGCGACGCCGCGUGGAGGAUGAAGGUCUUCGGAUUGUAAACUCCUGUCAGGUGGGAAGAAAGGCCGAUCCUUAAUAGGGAUCGGAGAUGACGGUACCACCAGAGGAAGCACCGGCUAACUUCGUGCCAGCAGCCGCGGUAAUACGAGGGGUGCAAACGUUAUUCGGAUUUACUGGGCGUAAAGGGUGUGUAGGCGGCAUGUUGUGUCUGUUGUUAAAGACUCCAGCUUACCUGGAGAAGUGCAGCGGAAACUAAUGUGCUAGAGGAUGGAAGAGAGGAGUGGAAUUCCCGGAGUAGCGGUAAAAUGCGUAGAUCUCGGGAGGAACACCAAUGGCGAAGGCAGCUCCUUGGUCCAUGCCUGACGCUGAGACACGAGAGCGUGGGGAGCAAACAGGAUUAGAUACCCCCGUAGUC